ensembl:lncRNA
UGGAGGCAUGCCCACCAUCGCCUGGACCAGCAGAGGAGGCAGCUGCAGGGCUUACUGAAGAACUGGGAGCGAUGUGAGAAGGGCAUAGAUGUGUCUUUGGAGAAGCUGAGGGCCUUCAAGAGAAAGCUGUCUGUGCCUCUGCCUGACCACCAUGAGGAGCUGCACUCAGAGCAAAUCAGAUGCAAGGUGAGGAGAAUAUGAUACUUUCUCUCUUUCUCGCACACACAUACACACUCUUUUAAAUAUUCUUCAUUUUUCUGUUUUAGCUUAAUGCUUUACUGAAAGUGUUGAUAUGUAGAUUCUCUCCACUCUCCAUCCUACUGGCUGUUUCUCAUCAGUCACAUCCCCCUCUCUCUCUCUGUCUAAACAUUCACACAUCAACAAACUCGGGCAUGUCCUCUCGUUACCUCUUUAAUCUAUCUGCGGGGAUAAACGGACAAACAGACGGAGCAGGAACAAAAAAAAGAAAAAAGAAACAGAAAAAACGCCCUUUUCUAUCAGUCUGCUGUCUGAUUGCGUGACCUUGUGUGCGGUAGUCAGGGUAGCUUUAUUUUCCUUUGACAUGUCAUUUACGAAACUUUUUUUUGUUUUGUUUUGUUGUUUUUUUUAAGUGACCCUUUAUCAAUUUAAAUACUUUUUUAAUUUGACCCAGGCCCUAUCUUUCUUUUUUUUUCUUUUUUCUUUUACUUCAUCUCCACCCAAUAGUGUAUGCAGUCAUGUUUCAUGCAUCACACGUCCUCGGCUGCUCCUCGGGGGAGGAGGUGGAGGAGGAGGAGGACCGUGUGAGUAGCUGCACAUAGAAUCAGCUGAGGAGAAAGGGGGUGGGGAAAGAGAAUGGGAGAGAGAGAGAGAGAGGGUGCGUGCGCAUGAGACAGAGAGAGAGCAUCCCUGUGUGUGUGUGUGUGUGUGUGUGCGUGCUUCCUUUUUGUGUGUGUGUGUGAGUUGCGUAAUGGAGACAUGCUCUGGGUCUGCAAAUGAUUACAGCACAGCAAAACCGUCACAAUGACGGAGGAGGAGAUGCAAGGUUGGAUGCCUCUGUUACCUUAUCUGCUAUUAGCCUUGAAUGUAGCUGUUUUUUGCAUUGAAUAUAAUGCGCUGCUGUUAUUUUGGGGAUUUACAGUAAACCAAUGUCGAAUCAUAGCAUUUGGCACCGCGCCUUCCUCUAACAUUCAUUGUCACUUUGCUGUUUUGCAUUUUCUUAGUGUUUCGGGGGAUGCAGGUGCUGCAGCUCAG